rnacentral:rRNA from 1 species
UUUAUGGAGAGUUUGAUCCUGGCUCAGAGUGAACGCUGGCGGCGUGCCUAAUACAUGCAAGUCGAACGAUGAAGCUUCUAGCUUGCUAGAGUGCUGAUUAGUGGCGCACGGGUGAGUAACGCAUAGGUCAUGUGCCUCUUAGUUUGGGAUAGCCAUUGGAAACGAUGAUUAAUACCAGAUACUCCCUACGGGGGAAAGAUUUAUCGCUAAGAGAUCAGCCUAUGUCCUAUCAGCUUGUUGGUAAGGUAAUGGCUUACCAAGGCUAUGACGGGUAUCCGGCCUGAGAGGGUGAACGGACACACUGGAACUGAGACACGGUCCAGACUCCUACGGGAGGCAGCAGUAGGGAAUAUUGCUCAAUGGGGGAAACCCUGAAGCAGCAACGCCGCGUGGAGGAUGAAGGUUUUAGGAUUGUAAACUCCUUUUGUUAGAGAAGAUAAUGACGGUAUCUAACGAAUAAGCACCGGCUAACUCCGUGCCAGCAGCCGCGGUAAUACGGAGGGUGCAAGCGUUACUCGGAAUCACUGGGCGUAAAGAGCGCGUAGGCGGGAUAGUCAGUCAGGUGUGAAAUCCUAUGGCUUAACCAUAGAACUGCAUUUGAAACUACUAUUCUAGAGUGUGGGAGAGGUAGGUGGAAUUCUUGGUGUAGGGGUAAAAUCCGUAGAGAUCAAGAGGAAUACUCAUUGCGAAGGCGACCUGCUGGAACAUUACUGACGCUGAUUGCGCGAAAGCGUGGGGAGCAAACAGGAUUAGAUACCCUGGUAGUCCACGCCCUAAACGAUGGAUGCUAGUUGUUGGAGGGCUUAGUCUCUCCAGUAAUGCAGCUAACGCAUUAAGCAUCCCGCCUGGGGAGUACGGUCGCAAGAUUAAAACUCAAAGGAAUAGACGGGGACCCGCACAAGCGGUGGAGCAUGUGGUUUAAUUCGAAGAUACACGAAGAACCUUACCUAGGCUUGACAUUGAGAGAAUCCGCUAGAAAUAGUGGAGUGUCUGGCUUGCUAGACCUUGAAAACAGGUGCUGCACGGCUGUCGUCAGCUCGUGUCGUGAGAUGUUGGGUUAAGUCCCGCAACGAGCGCAACCCCCUUUCUUGGUUGCUAACAGGUUAUGCUGAGAACUCUAAGGAUACUGCCUCCGUAAGGAGGAGGAAGGUGGGGACGACGUCAAGUCAUCAUGGCCCUUACGCCUAGGGCUACACACGUGCUACAAUGGGGUGCACAAAGAGAAGCAAUACUGCGAAGUGGAGCCAAUCUUCAAAACACCUCUCAGUUCGGAUUGUAGGCUGCAACUCGCCUGCAUGAAGCUGGAAUCGCUAGUAAUCGCAAAUCAGCCAUGUUGCGGUGAAUACGUUCCCGGGUCUUGUACUCACCGCCCGUCACACCAUGGGAGUUGUGUUUGCCUUAAGUCAGGAUGCUAAAUUGGCUACUGCCCACGGCACACACAGCGACUGGGGUGAAGUCGUAACAAGGUAACCGUAGGUGAACCUGCGGUUGGAUCACCUCCUUUCUAGA